rnacentral:lncRNA from 1 species
GCGGAUUAAAAGAAAAAGAAAACUUCGAGAGCUCACCAUUCUCUCACAACCCUCUCCCUCUCCUCUCACUCACACCCCUCUUCCUCCACAGCCCUCUCCUCCCUAUUAUUUCACUCUAUACCUAAUUUUGAAAACUUGUGGCUAUAUCGAUGGCCAACAAAGUAGCAAAAUCAGAAACCCUAGCCCCCAAUUUCAAAUAAACCAAAAUUUUUGUAGAAGCAACCAUCAAAUCGAAGGCUUUAGGAGGAAUAGAGUCAUCUUGCAACAACAACAAAGAACGCGAGAAAUCGCUGAAAGAGUUGAUGGCGAAAGGAUCCAAAGCCGACAAAGAACGCAAUUAUGCUUAAGGCACCGGCUGCUACAAUCGUGCCCUAGAAAUCAAGUUUAUUAGUCUUAUAAAUUAAUGAUAAUCCAUUAAUUUCUCUAUCUCAUAAAUUUAUUGAUAACCUGUUUUCUUAUAUAUAUUAUUGUUGUUUGAUGUAUGUCAACUGGGUUGAAUAUUUUGCUUUUUAAUUCUCGAUAUCAACUUCGAAGGAAGCAAGUUUUAAUUUGGGUGUUUAUAUAUUAAUUGAUUGGAUUGAGCAUGUCUUCCACUUAUUCUCGUCAAAAAUAGCGCAAUUUGCAGAGAAAUCAAAUUUCAUGGUAAUUUCAAUUGUAUAAAUUAAUGUGUAUUCUUUUUUAAUUCUGCCAUUUUUACUUAUUUGUAUUUAUCUCUCUCUUCGGUUCUAGGUUAGUGUUUAGGAGAAAGUCAAAAGUUUAUAUGCAGAGGGACUGAGACGGGGACUGAGGUAGAUAGCAAUGAUGAUAAGGUCUUCAUGCUUGUUUAUGUUAUUGGGUGUGUGAAUAUAUAUAUACAUUGUCACAUAUAUUUGCAGUGUGAUUGAAAUUGGAACUUUAUGAUAAACAUGACUAGGAAAAAGAUGAGCAUGAAGAGGGGGAAAUGCCAACAACCAAUUCAACUGGUUCAGAGAUUGAUUCUCUGCCUAUAGUUGUUGAUCAAGUAAAUUACUUGUCUGCUCAUGUAUAAAAAUUUAAGGUUUAUUUGAUAGUGUGUGGUUAAGUAGAAGUAAUAAUUCGUUGAUUUGUAGAUUGUUUAAUUUGGGUGUUCAUACAUUAAUUUGUGACGUUAAUUUGGGUGUUCAUACAUUAAUUUAUUGUUUAAUUUCGUUCUCAUGCAGUUUUAAUGUGUGUUCCACUUUUCAUGAAUGUUAGUUUUAAUUGUCAAACUUAAUACAG